GCUAAUGCUGUGGCCAAUGUGUUUAAUACAGGCACCCCUGGACCAAUUCCUCCGCCGCCGGCAUUUGCGGACCCGCCUCGUCCUGGCACCCCUGGACCUAUUCCUCCGCCGCCGGCAUUCGCGGACCCGCCUCGUCUUGGUACCGGACAAGUUCCAGGACCAGGGCGCUAUGGCCCGGACAACCUGACUAGGG